rnacentral:rRNA from 1 species
CCCUUAGAUGUUCUGGGCCACACGCGCGCUACACUGAUGCAUUCAACGAGUGUACCUUGGCCGAGAGGCCUGGGCAAUCUUUUGAACGUGCAUCGUGAUAGGGAUAGAUUAUUGCAAUUAUUAAUCUUGAACGAGGAAUUCCUAGUAAACGCAGUUCAUCAAACUGCAUUGAUUACGUCCCUGCCCUUUGUACACACCGCCCGUCGCACCUACCGAUUGGAUGGUCCGGUGAAGCCUCGGGAUUGUGGCGGUUGCCUUUAUUGGUGGCCGCCGCGAGAACUUGUCUAAACCUUAUCAUCUAGAGGAAGGUGAAGUCGUAACA